AGGACGAACGCUGGCGGCGUGCUUAACACAUGCAAGUCGAGCGGUAAGGCCUUUCGGGGUACACGAGCGGCGAACGGGUGAGUAACACGUGGGUGAUCUGCCCUGCACUUCGGGAUAAGCCUGGGAAACUGGGUCUAAUACCGGAUAUGACCUCCUAUCGCAUGGUGGGUGGUGGAAAGAUUUAUCGGUGCAGGAUGGGCCCGCGGCCUAUCAGCUUGUUGGUGGGUAAUGGCCUACCAAGGCGACGACGGGUAGCCGACCUGAGAGGUGACCGGCCACACUGGGACUGAGACACGGCCCAGACUCCUACGGGAGGCAGCAGUGGGGAAUAUUGCACAAGUGGGCGAAAGGCCUGAUGCAGCGACGCCGCGUGAGGGAUGGACGGUCCGUUCGGGUUCGUAAACCUUCUUUCGAGCAGGGACGAAGCGACAAGGUGACGUACCUGCAGAAGAGCACGCUAACUA
rnacentral:rRNA from 1 species